AUGCUAGUUUUGGAAGUACCGAUAUUGAAAUUAUAACAAUAUUGAGAAGAUUAGUAUGGUCUCUGGGCAAAGAUGGCAUGCAGAUUUGUGAUGUGAUACAUAUGUUU
ensembl:snRNA U6 U6 spliceosomal RNA